AGCCUUGUAGUUCAAUGGAUAGAACGGAAGUUUCCUAAACUUUAAAUUCGGGUUCGAUUCCCGGCGAGGCUA
rnacentral:tRNA from 1 species